GUGGGAUUUGAUUAUAUUAUGGAAUUUGAAGUGUUUAAAUGGCUGAAACCAGAUUCAGCAUACAAUUUUUGUAUGGGAUAAUUGUGUAAACAUAACUUACACUUGUUUUGUUUUCCAGAAAAUAAUAAUAUGAUUGUAAAAUUCAAUCAAAAAAAAAAAAAAAAAAACAAAAAAAGCCAGAAAACUAGUAUUUCUGGUAUUCUAGAGCCAAACCUCACUUCUUUUGUUUUAAUAUAA
rnacentral:lncRNA from 1 species